AUACUUACCUGACGAGGACCAUACUGGGAUCAGGCAGCCAGUGGGUCCAGGGCGAGGCUUUGCCAUUGCACAUCGGCUUAGCUGACCCUUG
rnacentral:snRNA from 1 species